UACGUAGGGUGCGAGCGUUAAUCGGAAUUACUGGGCGUAAAGGGUGCGCAGGCGGCCCUGUAAGACCGGUGUGAAAUCCCCGGGCUCAACCUGGGAAUUGCGCUGGUGACUGCAGGGCUAGAGUACGGUAGAGGGGGUGGAAUUCCUGGUGUAGCAGUGAAAUGCGUAGAGAUCAGGAGGAACACCGAUGGCGAAGGCAGCCCCCUGGGCCUGUACUGACGCUCAUGCACGAAAGCGUGGGGAGCAAACAGGAUUAGAUACCCGAGUAGU
rnacentral:rRNA from 1 species